CCCGUGAUGCUCCUCCCCGACGACUUCAAGGCCAGUUCCAAAAUCAAGGUCAACAACCACCUGUUCAACAGGGAGAACCUGCCCGGCCACUUCAAGUUCAAGGAGUACUGUCCCCAGGUGUUCCGCAACCUGCGCGAGAGGUUCGGCAUCGACGACCAGGACUAUCAGGUGUCCCUGGCCCACAUCCCCCCGUUGGUCCCAC